AUGGCUGUCGUCAGCUCGUGUCGUGAGAUGUUGGGUUAAGUCCCGCAACGAGCGCAACCCUUAUUCUAUGUUGCCAGCGCGUAAUGGCGGGGACUCGUAGGAGACUGCCGGGGUCAACUCGGAGGAAGGUGGGGACGACGUCAAGUCAUCAUGCCCCUUAUAUCCAGGGCUGCACACAUGCUACAAUGGCUGGUACAACGGGUUGCUAAUCCGCGAGGAGGAGCUAAUCCCCAAAGCCAGUCUCAGUUCGGAUCGCAGUCUGCAACUCGACUGCGUGAAGUCGGAGUCGCUAGUAAUCCCGGAUCAGCAACGCCGGGGUGAAUACGUUCCCGGGCCUUGUACACACCGCCCGUCACACCACGAAAGUCGGCAACACCCGAAGCCGGUGGCCCAACCUUUUAGGAGGGAGCCGUCGAAGGUGGGGUCGGUGAUUGGGGUGAAGUCGUAACAAGGUAGCCGUACCGGAAGGUGCGGCUGGAUCACCUCCUUUCUAAGGAGUCACUGUCUGGGCCAAUCCGGCUCAGAUACUCCUAGUCGAUCACUGACUAUUCGCUGUCACGCCUCUCCCACCCCUGGUGGACCGCACAUCUUCGGAUGCCCGUCGGCCAGGCCUGUGGGCUCUAGGCAUGACAUCGGGCCAUCACUAUUCCGUUUUGAGGGAGUGACCCUCGGUCCCUGCUCCAUGAGCAGCCCGGGGCGAUUCCAGUCCCUCCGACGCGAUGCCGCCACCCCACCUCGCGUGGGGCCGUCGGCCGCUCGCCCGUCCCUCCGCUUCCCGAUGCCGGUCUGUUCUUUGGCGUCGACGGACCGGUAGGCACGCUGUGCGCCCCUUGAGAAUUCCAUAGCGGGCACGAGCAUCUAUGUUCUCCAAGUUAUAAAGAGUCAACGGCGGAUGCCUUGGCGCCUGAAGCCGAAGAAGGACGUGGGAGGCUGCGAUAAGCCACGGGGAGCUGCCUACCAAGCGCGGAUCCGUGGAUGUCCGAAUGGGGAAACCCGG
rnacentral:sRNA from 1 species